UACGUAGGGUCCGAGCGUUGUCCGGAAUUACUGGGCGUAAAGAGCUCGUAGGUGGUUUGUCGCGUUGUUCGUGAAAACUCACAGCUCAACUGUGGGCGUGCGGGCGAUACGGGCAGACUUGAGUACUGCAGGGGAGACUGGAAUUCCUGGUGUAGCGGUGGAAUGCGCAGAUAUCAGGAGGAACACCGGUGGCGAAGGCGGGUCCCUGGACAACACCUGACACUGAGGCACGAAAGCUAGGGGAGCAAACAGG
rnacentral:rRNA from 1 species